CCCGGCAGCCCGUGGCGAGACGAGCCGAGCGCUGGGCUGUGAUUUGCAACUUCGCUGACGCGUCUGCGGUCACGUUCAGAAAUUCAGAUUCAAAUUUCUUCAUUACUGCUGUGAUUUUUGCGCAUUUAUCACAAUUAAGGUUAAUUCGUGGGACCUACGUUUUCUGCAAUGAACUCUGAAGGGGAUGAAAGGGAACAGUCUGAUGGACUUGAGGCGGUUAUAAAGAAGCUGGAGGACUCUCUCCUCCACCCAGACAGCAGUGCCGACGAGAGGUCGUUCGCUGGCGAAGGUCUAGGGUCCCCCAGAACACCCUUACCGGCCCACAUCCACCAGAUCGUCACCAGGAACCCCAGAGAGACUCCAACAGGUGCCCUGAUCCCAGAACAGCGCUACUAUGCACUUUCGAACAAAGCAGGGGACAUGAGUGCUGAUGGCCCCGUGCAGGACGAGAACCGGAUGCUGAGGGACCUCCUCUCCCAGACCUGCUCAGACCGAGACCAGCUGAUGCUUAGACAGGCUGCCCUCACGGACCGAGUAGGAGCACAGAACACUUACCAAGCUUUAUUAAGCAUCAUUACACUACUCAAUAGCAAU
rnacentral:lncRNA from 1 species